rnacentral:lncRNA from 1 species
AAGGGCUGUGUGCAAUGAAGACCCAGGGGGCAGUGAGCAGCUUCUUUCUCCAAAAAAUUAUGUUGCAAGUAAUUUUCCUUCUAGAGGUGCCACUGCACUUUUCUUCCCAUGUGGCAAGAUGAACAGGUGUACAGAUGAAAUGGAAAAGGCAGAAUGAGACUUGGCAAAGAACAGCCUAUUCCACUAAGUUGUGGAUGGUCAAGUUUUGAGGGUAGAUAAGAGGAUAUCUGAUGGUUUUUGGAAGUCAGGAUGCGUCUCAGCUCCUGAGGUUGCUGUGAUGUGAGCAGUGUCUGUGUCAUUUGGGGAGAGGAACAACUGCAGCACGUAACCCGUCUGGCUGAUACCUGGGAGGAGACCACCUGACCUCUCUCCUUUCCUAUCACAAGGGAAGGCUUCUGAUCUGAAUGCUAGUUUAACCUACAUGGACAGCUUUCAAGUCUCGGUUUCUGAACUAAGGGAGCAAAUGGAGGCAAAUCAGGGUCAGCUUUGGCUCAAGGCAGUCCUACGGAGGCUCCAGGGAAAAGGGCAGUUUCAGUCUGUCUGGUGAUGGCCCGUUAAGGAGGAGGACGAUCAUGGGUUUCUACAUGCCUACAGCAUGGCUGACUGGCCACAGCAGGAAAAGACUAUGCCACGGACUGCUCUUUUUCUGUUACCUGCGGGUGACCUUUGAAAGAAUAUGGUUGGACAAUGGCUUGUGGUCAGAGUGCUGCUGGAAAUUCAGAGGCUGCUAAAUGCAACACCACUGUUUGGAAUGCAGUGUGAUUUCUGUGCACAGGCACAGCUCCUGUAGUCUGCAGUUCUUGGAUAUCAGAGAGGAAUUGCACGCUCUUCCCCUGUCUGUAUCUUACGUGUGUCUGACAUCAACACCCCCCUGGGAGAGCUAAAAGAAGAGCUGGCGUCUUCCCUCUUGGUUCUAAGAACACCUGGUGGACUUCCUGCUUAAAGGCAAGGGACAAUAUAUCUCUCACUUACUUUCACAAACCCAAACUGAGCUACACACAACAAAAAUGAAGACAUAGAAAAGAAAGAAUACUAGACUUGUGUCAACAUAUUUUUUUUCUUUUUGAAAGAAACCUGUUCAGUUUAAUCCUCAUGAAAGUGGGAAAAAUAAUAACAGUGGGUUAAAGCCAGUGUUUAAGAAAAUACAUUUAAAUAUAUUUUUUUACUUAAAAAUGACUUUCUUCAGCAUUCAAAGACCUAAGAGUUAAACUAUAAUUGUAUACACCUCAUGUAACAAAUUGACAAAAAAUUUAAUAAACCAGACUAUAUAAAAAGCAAGAGGUUGGGUGUUGGUUUUUUGUUGUGGGUUUUUUUUUUUUUUUUUUUUUUUGGUCAGAAAAAUGUAUUUGUGAAUUAGCUGAUCGUAUAAAAAGCAUUAAACUUUUAAAAAAAUGUGUUGUUCUUGUUGUUGUUUUUUCAAGUGUUAAUGGUUUUACCAUUCAUUGUAGCUACAUUCCAAACCCCUGUAACAUCAGGGCAUGUUAUUCUUAUCUGUGUAGCACAGUGAGCUUAAUCUUUACACUGAGGUCACUCUCAUUACUACUUCCCCAGAGCCAUUAUCCUCUGAUGAAUCUUCCUGAGGUCUCAUGCGGUUGAACAGAUGUAACAAUACG